GUCCUUGCCGUAAACGAUGUAUACUUGAUGUAGUUGGGCUCAACCCUGACUGUGUCGAAGCUAACGCGAUAAGUAUACCGCCUGGGGAGUACGCUCGCAAGGGUGAAACUCAAAAGAAUUGACGGGGGCCCGCACAAGCAGUGGAGCAUGUGGUUUAAUUCGAUGCAACGCGAAGAACCUUACCCAGGCUCGAAAUGUAAUGGAAGUAAUCAGAGAUGGUUACGUCCGCAAGGACUGUUAUAUAGGUGCUGCAUGGCUGUCGU
rnacentral:rRNA from 1 species